CAAAUCCUAUUAGGACGGAUUUAGGUUUUUACAAAACGGAUUUGGGCGGAUUCGGAUUUGAAAAAUUUUACCCGUCUCGGUUUCGGGUAGGGUUCGAAGUUAGGUGAUUGGAUACCCAUUACCCGAACCCGAUUAGCUAUACUUACAAAACUAACCCUAAUUCCUUUUUUCAUUUUACUUCAUACACUUCCCUCUCUCCGUCGGCGCCUCUCUCCCCCGCUUCCCUCGAUCGACUCUCUCCCCCACUUCACUGCCGGCAGCCCAGUCGGCACCUGAACCCAAGAGGAGGAAACUCGAGCCACCAACCGCGUCGCAGGACAGGCUCUUCACCUGCAGCAAAGAAACCCGUAGAUGCAACAUCAGUUGCAGCACCCGAGACUCAUGGAGUAGAUUACAGGAUCCAACAG